rnacentral:rRNA from 1 species
AUUGAACGCUGGCGGCAGGCCUAACACAUGCAAGUCGAACGGUAACAGGAAGAAGCUUGCUUCUUUGCUGACGAGUGGCGGACGGGUGAGUAAUGUCUGGGAAACUGCCUGAUGGAGGGGGAUAACUACUGGAAACGGUAGCUAAUACCGCAUAACGUCGCAAGACCAAAGAGGGGGACCUUCGGGCCUCUUGCCAUCGGAUGUGCCCAGAUGGGAUUAACUAGUAGGUGGGGUAACGGCUCACCUAGGCGACGAUCCCUAGCUGGUCUGAGAGGAUGACCAGCCACACUGGAACUGAGACACGGUCCAGACUCCUACGGGAGGCAGCAGUGGGGAAUAUUGCACAAUGGGCGCAAGCCUGAUGCAGCCAUGCCGCGUGUACGAAGAAGGCCUUCGGGUUGUAAAGUACUUUCAGCGGGGAGGAAGGGAGUAAAGUUAAUACCUUUGCUCAUUGACGUUACCCGCAGAAGAAGCACCGGCUAACUCCGUG